UGACGUCCAUAUCACGUUGAAACACAGGUUAUCGUACGAUCACCGAAGUUAAGCAACAUCGAUCCUGGUUAGAACUUAGAGUGGGUGACCACUUAGGAUUACCAGGUGCGGUAAG